ACCUCCCGCGCAUGCUCUAUGGGGUAGAGACGCUAGGCCGGCACUGCCUAGGUGGGCCGGGCGGUGCGAGGGUCGCCUUUCAGCCUUUACCUCUACCCACUGAAAUGGAGUAGGUCGGUGAGCGCCGAUCUGCUGGAGAAUCUCAUUAUCCCAUCGGCGCUCUGCCUGCUCCUGGCCUCCAAGCCUCUGAAGCCCCUCGGGUUUCAGCUGCCGGCUACCCUCGAGCCCGUGGUGCCCACGAGAGAGGCGACUUUACGUCAGCGGCCCUGGGCUGAGAUUUGAGAACGCGACCAAGUGGAGAAUGUUGGAGCCAGAUUUUAAAAUCCUUGUCUUCCUUCUGCGUGCUACUUGAUCUAAAUGAGAUACGGCAAAGUCACAGAACCUGUUUUUAUGUUUUUGCCUGAUUCAUACGGGCUUCUCCGGUGAAGAUGGGCCUGAAGUAACGCUUGGGUUGCUUCUGACGUUAUAACUCAUCCUGUAGCUGCAGCAACCGUGGUCCUUGCAACCUCAUAAAAAUGUUGCCAGCAUUGUUUCGAUAGUGCUGCUUAAUUCUUGGAAGGUUCUUCGGACUUCACACAUUCCAGCAGUAGCUCUCUCAGCUCCUGUCCUGCACAGCUUUGAAGUGCUGUUAACCAACAGGACACAGCCCUGGUGAUGGCUUUCUGAGGAUGACACGAUGGAGGCUUCUCCAAUAGCUCUAAAACUGCGGUGUGGAAAACAUUCGGCAGCCUCAAAGAGCGGUCUUGUUGACCCCAACUAUAUCAUUUUUCAUCAAAAUCAUUCUUGUAAAGAAUGACCAGGCAACACUCUUUGAAAAUUGGAGGCCAUUUGCAGCUGCUCUCUGUUGAGGAAAGUGAAUAAUAGGGUGCCCUCAAGGAAUUGCAAAGGUAUCACUCAACAGAAACUUUCGUGUCUGAAGAAAACUAGAUCAUUUUAUCAUGGUAGGCAUGCUGAUAUGUUUGCUUUAAUAAAAUGCCAUAUUUCUGCCUUUAAUCUCUUGUCAACCCGCUAUUAAAAAGCCCCAAAGUGCAUGUGUGCAGCGCAUGUAAACACUUGUGGUUUUGAGGUUACCACAGAACAUACUAAUAAAGCAUGUAAUUUGU
rnacentral:lncRNA from 1 species